GAGUGAAAUGAUAGCAACCAUUUUUCAGGACUGACCUGAAAUGAAGAGAAUACUCUUUGCUGAUCACUU
rfam:Erinaceus europaeus unplaced genomic scaffold scaffold00064, whole genome shotgun sequence